rnacentral:misc_RNA from 1 species
GGACCUCUCGAGGCUCCUACCCAUCUGCAACACCCACCGAUAACCAUCACAGCACGAUGCCUUCGCGUUCAUACGCAAACCUCCUCGAUCUCAGUAACUCUGAUUUUUCUCUCAUCUCCCCCGUCCGCUCCCCGCGCCUCCCCCGCAUCAUGACCGUCCCCGGCAUCCUCUCCGAUGACACAUCCCCGCUGUCCCCAUCACCCGCUCCGCGUGACUGCCGCAUCAUCGUCUCCCACCGCCUCCCUCUCCUCGCCGUCGCCGACUCCGCCGCUCCCUUUGGCCUCCGCUUCUCCUCCGAUCCCGACGCCCUCUCCCUCCAGCUCCGCUCCGGCCUCCCCCCGGACGCCGAAGUCCUCCACGUCGGCGUCCUCCCCUCCUCCGCCUCCAUCAACCCAUCCGAUCAAGACGCGCUCGCAUCGCACC